UUAUAAGAGACAGCAGUCGCCGCGGGAAUACGUAGGUGGCAAGCGUUGUCCGGAAUUAUUGGGCGUAAAGGGCUCGCAGGCGGUUUCUUAAGUCUGAGGUGAAAGCCCCCGGCUCAACCGGGGAGGGUCAUUGGAAACUGGGAAACUUGAGUGCAGAAGAGGAGAGUGGAAUUCCACGUGUAGCGGUGAAAUGCGUAGAGAUGUGGAGGAACACCAGUGGCGGAAGCGACUCUCUGGUCUGUAACUGACGCUGAGGAGCGAAAGCGUGGGGAGCGAACAGGAUUAGAUACCCGUGUAGUCCCUGUCUCUUAUAC
rnacentral:rRNA from 1 species